UUUACACAUCGGUAGCCAAACGUUCAGUUGAAGGGAGGAAGCCCUAUUGGAAAGUAGAGUGGACCCUUCUGAAGUGAAUAUGCAUGAAUAAGUAGCUUUAAGUCCUUACGGACGGCCGAAAAUCCUAGGUUUUCUGCACAAUGCUCAAUAAUGCAGAGUGAAUCGGUCCCUAAGAU
rnacentral:rRNA from 1 species